AUUGAACGCUGGCGGCAUGCCUUACACAUGCAAGUCGAACGGUAACAGGUUAAGCUGACGAGUGGCGAACGGGUGAGUAAUGUAUCGGAACGUGCCCAGUCGUGGGGGAUAACUGCUCGAAAGAGCAGCUAAUACCGCAUACAACCUGAGGGUGAAAGCGGGGGAUCGCAAGACCUCGCGCGAUUGGAGCGGCCGAUAUCAGAUUAGGUAGUUGGUGAGGUAAAGGCUCACCAAGCCGACGAUCUGUAGCUGGUCUGAGAGGACGACCAGCCACACUGGGACUGAGACACGGCCUAGACUCCUACGGGAGGCAGCAGUGGGGAAUUUUGGACAAUGGGCGCAAGCCUGAUCCAGCCAUGCCGCGUGCGGGAAGAAGGCCUUCGGGUUGUAAACCGCUUUUGUCAGGGAAGAAAAGGUUCUGGCUAAUACCUGGGACUCAUGACGGUACCUGAAGAAUAAGCACCGGCUAACUACGUG
rnacentral:rRNA from 1 species